rnacentral:lncRNA from 10 species
GUGGGUGCAGCCAGAUAAUGGCAUAAAAGCAGGCCACCCGAGCCAGCAGCGGCAACCCUCUUGGGUCCCCUUCCAUGCUGUGGAAGCUUCGCUCUUUCGCUUUUCACAAUAAAUCUUGCUGCUGCUCACUCUUUGGGUCCACACCACCUUUAUGAGCUAUAACACUCACUGCGAAGGUCUGUAACUUCACUCCUGAAGCCAGCGAGACCACGAACCCACUGGGAGGAAUGAGCAACUCCAGAUGCACUGCCUUUAAGAGCUGUAACACUCACUGCAAAGGUCUGCAGCUUCACUCCUGAAGUCAGUGAGACCACGAACCCACCAGAAGGAAGAAACUCUGGACACAUCUGAACAUCUAAAGGAACAAACUCCGGAACAAACUCCAGACACACCAUCUUUAAGAACUGUAACACUCACCACGAGGGUUUGCGGCUUCAUUCUUGAAGUCAGCGAGACCAAGAACCCACCAAUUCCGGACACAUUUUGGCAACCAUGAAGGGACUUUUAAUUGCCAUGCAGUGAGACUUUCACCUAUCACCAAGCGAAUUGACGCCAUCAAGCUACAGAUAGUCUUACAAAUGGAACCCCAAAUGAGUUCAACUAACAACUUCUACCAACGACCCCUGGACUGACCUGCUGGCCCUUUCACUGGCCCAGAGAGCUCCCCUCUGGAGGACACUACAACUGCAGGGCCCCUUCUUCACCCCUAUCCAGCAGGAAGUAGCUAGAGCAGUCAUCGGCCAAAUUCCGAACAGCAGUUGGGGUGUCCUGUUUAGAGGGGGGAUUGAGAGGUGACAACAUGCCAGCAACCCUCGCUUGCUCUCAGUGCUACACAGAUAAGCCUCAGAAACAUUAUGCUUAGUGAAAUAAAGCAGACACAAAAGGUCAUAAAUUAUAUUGUUUCACUCAUAAGAAAUAUUUGGACUAAGUAAAUGCAUAGAAAUGGAAAGCAAAUUACUUGUUGACAAGAGCUGUAUAAAAGAGGGAAUGGGGAGUGACUGCUUUAUGGUAUAGUGUGUCCUUUCGGAGUGAUGAAAAUGUUUUGGACCUAGAUAGAGGUGUUCCUCAUACAACACUGUGAAUGGACUGAAUGCUACUAUAUUGUAAAUUUAAAUAGUUAAUUCUAUGUUGUGUGAAUUUUAACUCACAUCUUUGCCAACACUUACUACUUUCUGCUUUUUAAAAAAAUUCUAGCCAUCCUAGUAAGUGUACAUUGAUAUCUCAUUGUGGUUUUCAUUUAAAUUUCCCUAAUGGUUAAUGAUGUUGAGCAUCUUUCAAUGUGCUUAAUGACCAUUAUAUAUCUUCUUUGAAGAAUGUCUAUUCAAGUCCCUUGCCCAUUUUAAAUUGGAUUAUCUUUUCGUUACUCAGUUACAAGAGUUAUUUACAGGCCGGGCGCGGUGGCUCAUGCCUGUAAUCCCAG